UACGGGGGGGGGCAAGCGUUGUUCGGAAUUACUGGGCGUAAAGGGCUCGUAGGCGGCCAACUAAGUCAGACGUGAAAUCCCUCGGCUUAACCGGGGAACUGCAUCUGAUACGGGCAGACUGGAGUGUGGUAGGGGAGAUCGGAAUUCCUGGUGUAGCGGUGAAAUGCGCAGAUAUCAGGAGGAACACCGGUGGCGAAGGCGGAUCUCUGGGCCAUUACUGACGCUGAGGAGCGAAAGCGUGGGGAGCGAACAGG
rnacentral:rRNA from 1 species